rnacentral:tRNA from 1 species
CAAAGAAUAGUUUAAAUAAAAUAUUAAUUUUGGAGAUUAAAGAUGAAUUCUGUAUUUUUCUUUGA